rnacentral:lncRNA from 1 species
GGGAUAAGGCAUCCGAGGAGGGACCCAGUGGGGCUCACCCGCCGCGCCACGUGCAGUUUACACGUCUCUUCGCUUCACCCACGCGUCUUCUUCUUCUCCUUCCUCUUCCGCAUCGCCUCUUCCUCCUCCCCCUCCCUCCCCCCUCUCGCGCGGAAGAACGGAACGGAACACCAGCCGCUGCUCCGGCAAGCGCUCGCCGCCGGCGAGGCAAAGUCCCAAGAAAGCAAGGGUCCAUUUUCGAGGAUGGAGCGUGUUGCUAAUUGGCAUUCAGGUUUUUCUAUGACAAGGGAUGGAGGUUCCAUCAUGAAAUAG